rnacentral:rRNA from 1 species
CUACGGGUGGCACCAGUGGGGAAUAUUGCACAAUGGGUGCAAGCCUGAUGCAGCCAUGCCGCGUGUAUGAAGAAGGCCUUCGGGUUGUAAAGUACUUUCAGCGGGGAGGAAGGGAGUAAAGUUAAUACCUUUGCUCAUUGACGUUACCCGCAGAAGAAGCACCGGCUAACUCCGUGCCAGCAGCCGCGGUAAUACGGAGGGUGCAAGCGUUAAUCGGAAUUACUGGGCGUAAAGCGCACGCAGGCGGUUUGUUAAGUCAGAUGUGAAAUCCCCGGGCUCAACCUGGGAACUGCAUCUGAUACUGGCAAGCUUGAGUCUCGUAGAGGGGGGUAGAAUUCCAGGUGUAGCGGUGACAUGCGUAGAGAUCUGGAGGAAUACCGGUGGCGAAGGCGGCCCCCUGGACGAAGACUGACGCUCAGGUGCGAAAGCGUGGGGAGCAAACAGGAUUAGAUACCCGUGUAGUC